CGAGUUCGGGUUUCAAGUACCUGGAUUUGGGGUCGCCACAGGUUGGUAUCAAAGCUGUAGGUUAUAAAUGUUAGGAGUGCGAAACCUAGGUUAUAACCUUAGUAGAAUGGAUAACUAAAGUUAGGAUAGAUAUUCGGUAGACGAAGAACUCUGGUGACGAAUUAUAACCUUAGUAGAAUGGAGGACGAAAGUAAGAUAGAUAUUCAGUGAACCAUGAGACGAAGUAAUCUGGUGAGAAGUUAUAGGAUAUGAUGAGUUGAAGAGAUUCAUCGAGUUUUAGUGGUACUAAAUAAAAUAUUACUCAUUUUAAUGAUGAAUAUAUUUUAUUUCAGUAAUGAUGUUGUCUCGUUUAUUGUGGUCAUAGGAUGGAUGACGAAAGUCAAAAUAGUAAUUCCUUGACCCAAGAGACGAUGGACUCUAGCGAGGAGUACACAGACAGUGAGAUG
rnacentral:lncRNA from 1 species